rnacentral:rRNA from 1 species
UACGUAGGGUGCGAGCGUUGUCCGGAAUUAUUGGGCGUAAAGAGCUUGUAGGCGGUUUGUCGCGUCUGCCGUGAAAAUCCGAGGCUCAACCUCGGACUUGCGGUGGGUACGGGCAGACUAGAGUGUGGUAGGGGAGACUGGAAUUCCUGGUGUAGCGGUGAAAUGCGCAGAUAUCAGGAAGAACACCCGUGGCGAAGGCGAGUCCCUGGACGAUACCUGACACUGAGGCACGAAAGCCGGGGGAGCAAACAGG